rnacentral:rRNA from 1 species
AGGGAAUAUUGGACAAUGGGCGCAAGCCUGAUCCAGCCAUGCCGCGUGAGUGAAGAAGGCCCUCGGGUUGUAAAGCUCUUUUGUCCGGAAAGAAAAGCAUUCGGUUAAUACCCGGGUGUUCUGACGGUACCGGAAGAAUAAGCACCGGCUAACUUCGUGCCAGCAGCCGCGGUAAUACGAAGGGUGCAAGCGUUACUCGGAAUUACUGGGCGUAAAGCGUGCGUAGGUGGUUUGUUAAGUCUGAUGUGAAAGCCCUGGGCUCAACCUGGGAAUGGCAUUGGAUACUGGCAGGCUAGAGUGUGGCAGAGGGUAGUGGAAUUCCUGGUGUAGCAGUGAAAUGCGUAGAGAUCAGGAGGAACAUCCGUGGCGAAGGCGACUGCCUGGGCCAACACUGACACUGAGGCACGAAAGCGUGGGGAGCAAAC